UACAGAGGUCCCGAGCGUUGUUCGGAUUCACUGGGCGUAAAGGGUGCGUAGGUGGUGAGGUAAGUCGGAUGUGAAAUCUCCGGGCUCAACCCGGAAAUGGCAUUGGAAACUACCUUGCUGGGGGAUUUGAGGGGGGAUUGGAAUACUUGGUGUAGCAGUGAAAUGCGUAGAUAUCAAGUGGAACACCAGUGGCGAAGGCGAAUCCCUGGAAAAUACCUGACACUGAGGCACGAAAGCGUGGGGAGCAAACAGG
rnacentral:rRNA from 1 species